UAGAGUUUGAUCAUGGCUCAGAUUGAACGCUGGCGGCAGGCCUAACACAUGCAAGUCGAGCGGUAACAGAAAAGAAGCUUGCUUCUUUUGCUGACGAGCGGCGGACGGGUGAGUAAUGCCUGGGAAUAUACCCUGAUGUGGGGGAUAACUAUUGGAAACGAUAGCUAAUACCGCAUAAUCUCUUCGGAGCAAAGAGGGGGACCUUCGGGCCUCUCGCGUCAGGAUUAGCCCAGGUGGGAUUAGCUAGUUGGUGAGGUAAUGGCUCACCAAGGCGACGAUCCCUAGCUGGUCUGAGAGGAUGAUCAGCCACACUGGAACUGAGACACGGUCCAGACUCCUACGGGAGGCAGCAGUGGGGAAUAUUGCACAAUGGGGGAAACCCUGAUGCAGCCAUGCCGCGUGUAUGAAGAAGGCCUUCGGGUUGUAAAGUACUUUCAGUUGUGAGGAAGGCGUUGGAGUUAAUAGCUUCAGCGCUUGACGUUAGCAACAGAAGAAGCACCGGCUAACUCCGUGCCAGCAGCCGCGGUAAUACGGAGGGUGCGAGCGUUAAUCGGAAUUACUGGACGUAAAGCGUACGCAGGCGGUUUGUUAAGCAAGAUGUGAAAGCCCUGGGCUCAACCUAGGAACCGCAUUUUGAACUGGCAAACUAGAGUCCUGUAGAGGGGGGUAGAAUUUCA
rnacentral:rRNA from 1 species